CACGCCUCCCCUGCAGGCGGACAGCUCCCAGUCUCCUCUCGCCGCCAUCUGUACACAUAGAGGGAUGGUGCCACUCAGACCCUCAGCUUCAAUUAGGCACUGUCGGGUUUCCUGACCUCUGCCCGCACUCUCACCCCGUCCCCACAUCCACAAGGAACAUUCUUCAGGGGGUGAAGCAGAUAUGCGGAAGCCAGCAGCUAAAAAUAACUCACUUCCGAGAUCGAGCGGCUCUCACCUCCUUUUCGCCGACGGUUUUAUCAGGCCUGGCUUUGAAGGGAUAACACACAGCAGCAGUGGGGACCUCAGAUGAGAUGGAAGCCACAGAACCAGCACCAUCACAUCAUUCCUCUGCCAGCACAGUUAUAAUCACGUCAUUUAGCCCUUGUAUGUAGUUUAACACUUUGAAAUAGCCAACAUGUGAAAAAUCCAUGAAGAACCAUAAGAAUACCAUCAAAAUAAAAUCUGCCGAGUACAUAGAGUCAAUUAACGGUCUGAAGAGAAAGUUUAAAAGAAAAUUCUGCAAAUCAGUGUUGUACAGCAACAAGUUUAACUUUAUGAAUUUUAAGACAACAACAGGCAGACAGCCCAAGAGAAAAGAACAAUACAAAUAUUCAAACAGAGCUGAAUUAGAGCUGCAAGUAAACUGAGAAGCUAAAAUAAACUGGCCAAUGGCAGAAUUGAUUUUGAGGCCUGAAAAUCCAUUUCUAAAAGUUGAGAAUUUAUUUUCCAAAAUUAGGAAAACAUUCAUCAGCCAUUUUGAAAAAAAUGAAUGGAAAAGGUGCAAAUCCCCCAUUUUGUUUUAAAGCAAAAUUAUAGUUUUCUGACACUUCUAGAACCCUGACUAAACGUGGGGACCACAGUUUACAAAGUAGCUCAAUAAAAUUACUGCUAUAAUAUUGCUACAUUUAAGAUUUGCAGCAAUGUUGUACGUACAAGAUAUUGCUACAUUGAAAUAGUCUGAAGAGCUUUUUGCAAUACUGUUGCCACAUCAAAUAUCCUUUAAACCUUCAAACAAUUUGCAAACACAACAGUUUCUUUUUUCUUAAGAAGCCCAAUUUUAAAAGGCAAUGACAUAACAAGAACAAGCAAGGUCAAAAGUAUAUUGUCAGAACGUCCACAAAAUUUUGUAGCUUGAAUUAGGAUGUAGUAGACCCCCUGACAGAAUUUAAAAUAUUUAAACAGUAUUAAGAGCUAUGAUUUCCAGAUGUGUCUGAUGCAGAAAAGUAAGCCAUUAAGAUUUGUUUAACAAUUGAAAAUGAAUGUCUAUGCAAAUUAAAUAUGUCAGGAUCAAUGACUCAGGAGCUAAAAGAUCCCCAAUGUUAUGGGUCACCUGAGAAAACUAAUUCAGAGUCAGAUCAUCAACUCAAAUUCAUAUAAUUUCU